rnacentral:lncRNA from 1 species
UGGUAUUGGCUAUAUUGGUUGGCUAUAAUUUAAAAAUAGCAUGUUAUUAAUAUUUUAGAUUGUUAAAAUAGAAUAUAUCAGUUCAAUAUGGUAAUAAAUGAUGUGCAAUCUUCCUACAGAUUUCUUACAGACCUGUAGAGGUUCGACAAAUUUAGCCAUCCAUAGAAGGUUGGCUAAAUUUAUAGACAACAGGUCACUAUGGUUGGAGUUUGAAUUUUUGAAGUGGUUGGCUAAAUUUUUUAUUUUUGGCAUGACAACUC